CUCCCAAUUCUUGAUUCUAAAUCUGUGUCUUCCACCAGUCAUGGGAACCAUCAGAGACCCAAACCCAUACAAACCUUGCUAUUCUUAUGACAAGAUGAGACAAAUGGAGAAUGUCAGGACCAAGUACAGGCAGGUCUAGCACAGGCUCUGACGUCAUGAAACAUAAAGAAAAGUAUCAGCAGUGAGAGCAGAGGUUGGACAAAAUGACGGGGAAGGGAAAAGAGAGGAUUUAGAUGAGAAGUGAAAUGUCUGGGGGGAACAGAAGAGAAUGAAGUGCUUACAGGCAUGGCUGUACCCUGGUCUGAGGGGCAGUGGGAGAUGAGGCCAGGCUGUACAGCUGGCCAGGAACAGAAGGUUCAUGGGAGAAAACAGUAACAAAUAAUGAUUUCAAUUUGUAAGUUGAGGGAUAGAACAGAGCCACCAAAGAUAUCCCAGGGAACACACCUCUCUGCAGAGACUAUGAAUGCAGGGCAUUCAUGCCACAUGGACAAACACACCUGAAAAUGUAUUUUGAAAUACCGCUUCACCAGCCCGGUCCCACAGCAGCCACUCUGGUCUGGAAGUUAUCCAUCCCCAAACCCCACAACUUAACAGGAACCCAGUGAAGAAUAACAACACAUUUGCAUAGCACUUUGUAAUUUACCAUGUGCCUUCCCAUAUAUUAUCUAGGGAUCCAUAAACAUCUGAGUAAACAGCAAUACUACUACUGGCCAAUAUUUCCAGCACGCUCACUAUAUCCCAUAGGCUGCACAAAGCUUUUAACACAGACCCUCCCAUUUCAUCCUCAUAGGAAACUUAUGAGGUUGAUCCUACUAUGAUUUCUAUCCUAUGGAUGCGGAGGCUUACUACAUACCAGCAUAGUUCUCAGCAUGUGUUAACUUAGAAUCUUGUGAAGUAUUUAAGAGUUAGAAUUAUUAUCUUCGGG
rnacentral:lncRNA from 10 species